UGCAGUCGAACGAUGAAAGCAGGAGCUCGCUUUUGCUGGAUUAGUGGCGAACGGGUGAGUAACACGUGAGUAACCUGCCCUUGACUCUGGGAUAAGCGUUGGAAACGACGUCUAAUACCGGAUACGAGCUAGGACCGCAUGGUCAUUAGCUGGAAAGAAUUUCGGUCAAGGAUGGACUCGCGGCCUAUCAGCUAGUUGGUGAGGUAACGGCUCACCAAGGCGACGACGGGUAGCCGGCCUGAGAGGGUGACCGGCCACACUGGGACUGAGACACGGCCCAGACUCCUACGGGAGGCAGCAGUGGGGAAUAUUGCACAAUGGGCGCAAGCCUGAUGCAGCAACGCCGCGUGAGGGACGACGGCCUUCGGGUUGUAAACCUCUUUUAGCAGGGAAGAAGCGCAAGUGACGGUACCUGCAGAAAAAGCACCGGCUAACUACGUGCCAGCAGCCGCGGUAAUACGUAGGGUGCAAGCGUUGUCCGGAAUUAUUGGGCAUAAAGAGCUCGUAGGCGGUUUGUCGCGUCUGCUGUGAAAAUCCGAGGCUCAACCUCGGACCUGCAGUGGGUACGGGCAAACUAGAGUGCGGUAGGGGAGAUUGGAAUUCCUGGUGUAGCGGUGGAAUGCGCAGAUAUCAGGAGGAACACCAAUGGCGAAGGCAGAUCUCUGGGCCGUAACUGACGCUGAGGAGCGAAAGCGUGGGGAGCGAACAGGAUUAGAUACCCUGGUAGUCCACGCCGUAAACGGUGGGAACUAGAUGUGGGGUCCGUUCCACGGAUUCCGUGUCGCAGCUAACGC
rnacentral:rRNA from 1 species